rnacentral:rRNA from 1 species
UGGGGAAUAUUGGACAAUGGGCGAAAGCCUGAUCCAGCCAUGCCGCGUGUGUGAAGAAGGUCUUCGGAUUGUAAAGCACUUUAAGUUGGGAGGAAGGGCAGUAAGCGAAUGCCUUGCUGUUUUGACGUUACCGACAGAAUAAGCACCGGCUAACUCUGUGCCAGCAGCCGCGGUAAUACAGAGGGUGCAAGCGUUAAUCGGAAUUACUGGGCGUAAAGCGCGCGUAGGUGGUUCGUUAAGUUGAAUGUGAAAGCCCCGGGCUCAACCUGGGAACUGCAUCCAAAACUGGCGAGCUAGAGUAGGGCAGAGGGUGGUGGAAUUUCCUGUGUAGCGGUGGAAUGCGUAGAUAUAGGAAGGAACACCAGUGGCGAAGGCGACCACCUGGGCUCAUACUGACACUGAGGUGCGAAAGCGUGGGGAGCAAACAGG